CUUACCCUGACUUCUGUUGGCCUGCUAGUUCAUUUUCACACCCAGCCCCCAUCCUUACACCUCCGUGGUCCUUAGCUGAUGACUGACAGUUGUGGGAGUUAGAAAGUCUUGCCUGCCAUUGCAGAGGUCUCUUGCCAUACGAGGUUUCAUGAAGCAGGACUUUGACUGAAAUCCUACGCAUAUCUGGCUUCUUUCUGUCCUUUUCCUUGAUUCCCUCACCCUCUUCCCUAUUUUGUUGGGAGUUCUUCUUUCAAAAAUCGCUCGCACAAGAAUCUUCAUUUCAGAAUCUGAUUUUGGGCAGCCAGAUUCAGGAUAGUCCUCAUAAGUAAAUGGGGAUGGCAAAACGUACCUUGCAAAUUUGUUGCUAGAACCAUGAUAUAAGGUCUAAAGCUACUGACACACAGGGCCUUCAUUAAAUAGCAAACAUCCUCCACUUGCUACCUAGUGCAAGUUAGCUUAGCCUAAAUACAGCGUAAUAGUAAAGAGAAAUAUUGUCAAAUAGGAAAAAAUCAUGAGCUUUCUAAUCAGAGCCUACUUGGGCUCAAAUCUCAGCCAUGUCAUUUGCUAGCUAUGUUGCUUCAUAGGUUACAUCAUUACUUUGUACCUCUUUUUAUUCUGUAAAAUGGGGAUAAUAACACCCAAGGUUGAUAGAAGUAUGUUCUGUGUUAUAACUGAGACUUAGGUCUGGCAUGAGUUAAGCAAUAUUCCCUCUUCCCUAAGUAUCUAUUUAAAUAUCCUGCUUUAUCUUUGAAAUGAGAAAACUUCUAGGAAAUACAAAUAUGAAAUGCAAAAACAAACAAAAACAAUAAACUAAACAAACAAAACCAAAAAUCCCUGAACUUUGUUCACAACCAAGAUUCAGAAACAAAUAAUUUUUAUCUGGCUUGGGGAAAGUGUGACAAACAAGACAAUUUUGGUGAUGUGAUUUUGGAAGCCCUGAGAAUUCAUAAGGGGGAGAAGAAGUGUAAUACAAUGAAUCCACUUUAUUCAGCAAUGGGAAGUGCUAUGAGGGGACCAGUCAUUCUGGACAGAGCUCAGGAAAUGAUUACAAAAAGUUCUGACUCAAGAGUUUCCUGAGAGUUGAAGGUGCUCUCGCACUUUGUAAUACUUUAGGUUCCAACUAACUAUGCUGUUCCAUUCCCCAGAGCAUUCCUCAGUGGAGCUGUGGUGGUUUCCAUCUCAGUCCUUUCAUGCUACCAGUUGACAAGAGCCAUCUCAAGAGCAGAGGUGAAUUGAGAGGAUUCUUUUCUUUUUAACUGUGGCAGUCUUCUUUUAGGAUCAUUUUGGACCAGCGGUGGAAUUUAUUUGUGGAAUAAAUACCUGAGUGUCAAGGAUAUUUUGGGUUUCUGUAAUUUAAUGAAUCAGUGUAUAUUGGAAUCAGUUUUAGUAAGAACAUAUACAUGAUGACCAUACGGUCAAGAUUUUCUUGAACAGACUCCAUUCCAAGUGUUUUCCACCUGCUUUAUUAAAGUAUAAUUGAGAAAUAAAAAAUGUAUAUAUUUACAAUGUAAAAUAUGAUGCUUUGAUAUCUGUAUACAUUUUGAAACUAUUAAAUCAACCUUAUUAGCAACUUUUAUCUCACAUACCUAUUUUUUGUGAUGAGAACUAUUAAAAUCUACUUUCUUAGCAAUUUCAAGUAUACAAUACAUUAUUAUGAAUUAUAGUGACUAUACUGUACAAUAGAUCUUCAGAAUGUAUUCAUCUUAACUGAGACUUUGUACUCUUUAACCAGCAUCUCCCCUCUUUCCACGCCCACAACCCUUGGCAACCACCAUUCUAGUCUCUGCUUCUGUAAGUUUGACAUUUUUAGAUUCCAUAUAUAAGUGAGAUAAUGAAUUGCAACUGUUUCUCCCCAUUUGUUCACUAAAGGCAGAAUUUCAUUAAAUAUAACUUGCUUGGCUAGAUAAGUGGGAGAGCAGAGCUGAGAUUCAAACCUUCAUCAGGUUCAAAUAGCUAUGCUGUUAAUAUUUGGCUUCCCAAUACUUUCUUAUCCAGUGAGUUUUAACGCAACUUACUAUCAACAUUUUAAUUCCAAAAUAGUAAUCCAUUUACAAAAAUCAAACUAAAAGGAUCUUAAGGCAUUGAGCUUCUUCCUCUCCCUUUCAGACUUGACUUGUUUAAGUGCUGCAUCAUUAAUCCUAACAGAGAUCUUAUGUCUGAGCAACUUCUAAACUAUUCAGUAACUAUAUUAACUCAUUCUCUAAAUUGUGGUGUCUGGAUUAAUGAGGUAUAUUUCUAUAUACAUAGAGUUAUGUAAAAUGCUGUGCAUCAAUAAAAUACAUUUAUACAA
rnacentral:lncRNA from 1 species